UACACAUGCAGUCGAACGGUCUUUUCGGAGAUAGUGGCGGACGGGUGAGUAACGCCCAUUAAUCUACCUUCAGGUUGGGGACAACCACUGGAAACGGCUUCUAAUACCGAAUGUGCCGAGAGGUGAAAGGCUUGCUGCCUGAAGAAGAGCUUGCGUCUGAUUAACUAGUUGGUGGGGUAAGAGCCUACCAAGGCGACUAUCAGUAGCUGGUCUGAGAGGAUGAUCAACCACACUGGGACUGAUACACGGCCCAGACUCCUACGGGAGGCACCAGUGGGGAAUUUUCCGCCAUGGGCGAAAGCCUGACGGAGCAAUACCGCGUGAGGGAGGAAGGCUCUUGGGUUGUAAACCUCUUUUCUCAGGGAAGAAGAAAGUGACGGUACCUGAGGAAUAAGCAUCGGCUAACUCCGUGCCAGCAGCCGCGGUAAUACGGAGGAUGCAAGCGUUAUCCGGAAUGAUUGGGCGUAAAGGGUCCGCAGGUGGCAUUGUAAGUCUGCUGUUAAAGAGUUUGGCUCAACCGGAUAAAAGCGCGUGGAAACUACAAAGCUAGAGUAUGGUCGGGGCAGAGGGAAUUCCUGGUGUAGCGGUGAAAUGCGUAAAUAUCAGGAAGAACAUCGGUGGCGAAGGCGCUCUGCUAGGCCAAAACUGACACUGAGGGACGAAAGCUAGGGGAGCGAAUGGGAUUAGAUACCCCAGUACUCCUAGCCGUAAACGAUGGAUACUACGCGUAGCUCGUAUCGACCCGAGCUGUGCCGUAGCUAACGCGUUAAGUAUCCCGCCUGGGGAGUACGCACGCAACUGUGAAACUCACAGGAAUUGACGGGCGGCCCGCACAACCGGGU
rnacentral:rRNA from 1 species